CAGCGUGGUCACCCCACUCCCCUCUCUCCACCCACUUUCACAGCAUCUCACAGCCUCAGCGUCAGGCGAGGGUGCGAGCAGCCUGUUCACCUCUCGCCCUGUCAGCCGUUUCCCUCCUCGCUGACCGUCCCCACAUCCCGUCUUGUGCCGUGACUUCCUCUUACGCCCAGGAGCCACCUCCAAAAGGAGUUGUUUGUGGGGUCCCCGCGGCCGGGCCCACAGCUGAGCCAAGUGGCACUCGGCGGCCACAGGCCGUCCCUCCGACAGGUGUUUGCUGAGCGCCCGUUCCCUGCCGGGCACUGUGGUCGGAGGAGCCUGCCUUCCUGGCAACAGGCGCAUCGGAGUAAGAUGAAGAUGCCAUUGGUGAAGGCGUGACAGAGGGGCAGCGGCCUGAGAAGGUGGCGGCGGAAGUGGGAGUGAGCGUCGGCACCAGAACCCGGGGCCUGAGCUGGGCCUGCACCUGCGCCUGCGCCUGCACCUUGGGAGGGAGGGGGCGGCCCUGAGGCGCCUGGACACGGCCUUCAGCUCCCAGCGGUGAGGACAAGGUCCUGUGGUUUGAAGGCCCAAGGCUGGGUCUCUGUCCCCCCCGCCACCCCCGUGCCCGGGGACCGAGGACAGUCAGUGUUAGAGGGGAUUCCGGUGCCUCCCAGGCCCCCUCUGUGUCUGGGGCCGGCACACCCACCACCAGCACUGCUCCCCUGUAGCU